CAGAUAAACAGGAGAUAGAAUUUCAAACAACAGCAGGGCAGGUUUAACUGUAACGGCAUUCACAUUCCUCAGAUAGAGACCCAGACUAGACGGCUAGUGAGAAUGAUGCACAUCCUGUCUGAAUGUGCACGUCCACCGUCCGUGCUCAGGAACAAAGUCUGAGGGUUCACAUUCGAUACAUCUGAUGAGGACACUCCGCCUUGAUUCAGCGCUUCUAGUAUCAUGCACCGGUUCUCUGGGAGGAAUUCACUGCAUUCCAAACCUAUUACUGGAUCGUUCCCAGUGCGUACAGCGUAAGAUGCUUACAAGGCUAAUCAAGCUCCUUGACAUCAGAGUGUGAGGCACCGAGAAACUCAUCAGCAGGGAUGUCAAAAGUACUGAAAGGUUGUACUUAAGUGGAAGAAUACAUAAUGUGUCAAAAUCUUAAUCGAUUACAACUGUCCAGACAAAAGUGUAUAAUAACCCUCUGUAUAACCCUCUGUAUAAUCUGUAUUUUUAUGCAAGACGCCCUUGGCACCUGGGAGCAUUAGGCACCUGCCUACCUUGGCCUAUAGUGCAAAGACUUCCCCUGCAAACGUGCAAACGUGUAUGGAAUGUGAAGUGUUCAAUCAUAUAUUCAGCAGCUCAAGGUCAUUUCAGAUGAUCAGAAAUGAUACUGUGUGCAUGUCAUUCCUGUAACGUAAACAUUCUUGAAGUCAAAGCAAAUGAUGGUGGUUUCAACCAUUGAACCUGGACCCUAUCUUAUAUCCACAUAUUAAAGUUUUCAAAAUAAUUCUGAAAAAGGUGUUUAAUAGUACAGUUUUGGUUUAUGCAUUUUAUUUCAUACAAAAUAGCUUCAAAACCAGGAAGGGAAAUAAAAAAUAUAGCUUUGUUUAAUCAAAGUGAAAGUGACCUCAUUUUUGUUAGUCAUGUACACAUUGUCAUUUCACUGAAAUCGUAUAG